CCUGCCGAGGAGCGCUGCAACGGGCAAGUCCCGCGAGGCUCGGCAAGGAAGGAUUGCAACAACGGCGCUCGUUCAUU
rnacentral:ncRNA from 1 species